rnacentral:rRNA from 1 species
CGAAAGCCUGAUGGAGCAACGCCGCGUGGGUGAAGAAGGUCUUCGGAUCGUAAACCCUGUUGUUAGAGAAGAAAGUGCGUGAGAGUAACUGUUCACGUUUCGACGGGUAUCUAACCAGAAAGCCACGGCUAACUACGUGCCAGCAGCCGCGGUAAUACGUAGGUGGCAAGCGUUACCCGGAUUUAUUGGGCGUAAAGGGAACGCAGGCGGUCUUUUAAGUCUGAUGUGAAAGCCUUCGGCUUAACCGGAGUAGUGCAUUGGAAACUGGGAGACUUGAGUGCAGAAGAGGAGAGUGGAACUCCAUGUGUAGCGGUGAAAUGCGUAGAUAUAUGGAAGAACACCAGUGGCGAAAGCGGCUCUCUGGUCUGUAACUGACGCUGAGGUUCGAAAGCGUGGGUAGCAAACAGGAUUAGAUACCCUGGUAG